rnacentral:rRNA from 1 species
GAACGGGUGAGUGACACGUGGGUGAUCUGCCCUGCACUUUGGGAUAAGCCUGGGAAACUGGGUCUAAUACCGAAUAGGACCACGCGCUUCAUGGUGUGUGGUGGAAAGCUUUUGCGGUGUGGGAUGGGCCCGCGGCCUAUCAGCUUGUUGGUGGGGUAAUGGCCUACCAAGGCGACGACGGGUAGCCGGCCUGAGAGGGUGACCGGCCACACUGGGACUGAGAUACGGCCCAGACUCCUACGGGAGGCAGCAGUGGGGAAUAUUGCACAAUGGGCGCAAGCCUGAUGCAGCGACGCCGCGUGAGGGAUGACGGCCUUCGGGUUGUAAACCUCUUUCAGUAGGGACGAAGCGCAAGUGACGGUACCUAUAGAAGAAGCACCGGCCAACUACGUGCCAGCAGCCGCGGUAAUACGUAGGGUGCGAGCGUUGUCCGGAAUUACUGGGCGUAAAGAGCUCGUAGGUGGUUUGUCGCGUUGUUCGUGAAAACUCACAGCUUAACUGUGGGCGUGCGGGCGAUACGGGCAGACUAGAGUACUGCAGGGGAGACUGGAAUUCCUGGUGUAGCGGUGGAAUGCGCAGAUAUCAGGAGGAACACCGGUGGCGAAGGCGGGUCUCUGGGCAGUAACUGACGCUGAGGAGCGAAAGCGUGGGGAGCGAACAGGAUUAGAUACCCUGGUAGUCCACGCUGUAAACGGUGGGUACUAGGUGUGGGUUCCUUCCUUGGGAUCCGUGCCGUAGCUAACGCAUUAAGUACCCCGCC